AGAGUUUGAUCCUGGCUCAGGACGAACGCUGGCGGCGUGCUUAACACAUGCAAGUCGAGCGGAAAGGCCCUUCGGGGUACUCGAGCGGCGAACGGGUGAGUAACACGUGAGUAACCUGCCCCUGACUCUGGGAUAAGCCUGGGAAACUGGGUCUAAUACCGGAUACGACCUCCUGCGGCAUCGUGGGUGGUGGGAAGUUUUUCGGUUGGGGAUGGGCUCGCGGCCUAUCAGCUUGUUGGUGGGGUAGUGGCCUACCAAGGCGACGACGGGUAGCCGGCCUGAGAGGGCGACCGGCCACACUGGGACUGAGACACGGCCCACUCCUACGGGAGGCAGCAGUGGGAAUAUUGCGCAAUGGGCGGAAGCCUGACGCAGCGACGCCGCGUGGGGGAUGACGGCCUUCGGGUUGUAAACCUCUUUCAGCAGGGACGAAGUUGACGUGUACCUGCAGAAGAAGCGCCGGCUAACUACGUGCCAGCAGCCGCGGUAAUACGUAGGGCGCAAGCGUUGUCCGGAAUUAUUGGGCGUAAAGAGCUCGUAGGUGGCUGGUCACGUCUGCCGUGAAAGCCCGCAGCUUAACUGCGGGUCUGCGGUGGAUACGGGUCGGCUAGAGGUAGGUAGGGGCAAGUGGAAUUCCUGGUGUAGCGGUGAAAUGCGCAGAUAUCAGGAGGAACACCGGUGGCGAAGGCGGCUUGCUGGGCCUUACCUGACGCUGAGGAGCGAAAGCGUGGGGAGCGAACAGGAUUAGAUACCCUGGUAGUCCACGCUGUAAACGUUGGGCGCUAGGUGUGGGGAUCUUCCACGAUCUCCGUGCCGGAGCUAACGCAUUAAGCGCCCCGCCUGGGGAGUACGGCCGCAAGGCUAAAACUCAAAGGAAUUGACGGGGAGCCGCACAAGCGGUGGAUUAUGUUCUUUAAUUCGAUGAUAACCGAUGAACCUUACCAGGGUUUGACAUCCUUGGAAUUUUGCCGAAAGGCGAGAGUGCUUUAUUGAGCCAAGUGACAGAUGAUGCAUGGCCGUCGUCAGCUCGUGUCGUGAGAUGUUUGGUUAAGUCCAUUAACGAGCGCAACCCUUGUGAUUAGUUGUAUUUUUCUAAUCAGACUGCCCUGGCAACGGGGAGGAAGGAGGGGAUGAGGUCAGGUCAGUAUUUCUCUUACACCCUGGGCUAGAAACAUAAUACAAUGGCCAGUACAAUGCGCAGCGAAGCCGCGAGGUGGAGCAAAUCGCAUCAAAGCUGGUCCCAGUUCGGAUUGGAGGCUGAAACUCGCCUCCAUGAAGUUGGAAUCGCUAGUAAUCGCAGAUCAGCAAGCUGCGGUGAAUACGUUCCCGGCUCUUGUACACACCGCCCGUCAAACCAUGAAAGUCACCAACACCCGAAGUCCGAUUCGUCGGCCUAAGGUGGGGGGGAUGAUUGGGGUUAAGUCGUAACAAGGUAUCCGUACCGGAAGGUGCGGAUG
rnacentral:rRNA from 1 species